rnacentral:rRNA from 1 species
UACGGAGGGGGCUAGCGUUGUUCGGAAUUACUGGGCGUAAAGCGCGCGUAGGCGGCUUUGUAAGUUAGAGGUGAAAGCCCGAAGCUCAACUUCGGAAUUGCCUUUAAGACUGCAUCGCUAGAAUCAUGGAGAGGUGAGUGGAAUUCCGAGUGUAGAGGUGAAAUUCGUAGAUAUUCGGAAGAACACCAGUGGCGAAGGCGACUCACUGGACAUGUAUUGACGCUGAGGUGCGAAAGCGUGGGGAGCGAACAGG